rnacentral:rRNA from 1 species
UACGGAGGGUGCAAGCGUUAUCCGGAUUUACUGGGCUUAAAGGGUGUGUAGGCGGGCUUUUAAGUCAGUGGUGAAAUCUCCGGGCUCAACCUGGAAACUGCCAUUGAUACUAUUAGUCUUGAAUUUUGUUGAGGUGGGCGGAAUAAGUCAUGUAGCGGUGAAAUGCAUAGAUAUGACUUAGAACACCAAUUGCGAAGGCAGCUCACUAAGCAAACAUUGACGCUGAGGCACGAAAGCGUGGGGAUCAAACAGG